GCUUACGGCCAAACCAGCCGAAGAACGCCCGUUCUCGUCUGAUCUCGGAAGCUAAGAAGGCUUGGGCCUGGUCGGUACUUGGAUGGGAGACUGCCUGGCAAUACCAGGUGCUGUAAGCU
ensembl:rRNA 5S_rRNA 5S ribosomal RNA